UGUGUGUCCCUUUGUCGUAUUGUCAGAGGAGCCUGUGGCCACUGCCCCCAGGGAGCACACCAGAUCAUCCCAGCUGGGAUUCCUCACGGCGGGGGCUUUUCUGCAGACUUGGCUUUUUCAGCAGAUGCCAUCGUGUGAGUGGCACAGUUGACCACUAGAAGCCAGCAGGCUGUUCCGGCCGUGCUUCCCUCCUGCAGUUGCGUAGAAGCACAGCUCCCUGUCAUCACUCUUCUGUGGUCCUCUGUGGUCACGGUUGGUUGCAAUGAGACCUGCCUCUGCGUCUUGUUACUUAGCAUGUCAAUAAAGAGGCAGAUUCCUGUGUCAGUGA